UAUACAUGCAAGUCGAGCGAAUGGAUUGAGAGCUUGCUCUCAAGAAGUUAGCGGCGGACGGGUGAGUAACACGUGGGUAACCUGCCCAUAAGACUGGGAUAACUCCGGGAAACCGGGGCUAAUACCGGAUAAUAUUUUGAACUGCAUGGUUCGAAAUUGAAAGGCGGCUUCGGCUGUCACUUAUGGAUGGACCCGCGUCGCAUUAGCUAGUUGGUGAGGUAACGGCUCACCAAGGCAACGAUGCGUAGCCGACCUGAGAGGGUGAUAAUCGGCCACACUGGGACUGAGACACGGCCCAGACUCCUACGGGAGGCAGCAGUAGGGAAUCUUCCGCAAUGGACGAAAGUCUGACGGAGCAACGCCGCGUGAGUGAUGAAGGCUUUCGGGUCGUAAAACUCUGUUGUUAGGGAAGAACAAGUGCUAGUUGAAUAAGCUGGCACCUUGACGGUACCUAACCAGAAAGCCACGGCUAACUACGUGCCAGCAGCCGCGGUAAUACGUAGGUGGCAAGCGUUAUCCGGAAUUAUUGGGCGUAAAGCGCGCGCAGGUGGUUUCUUAAGUCUGAUGUGAAAGCCCACGGCUCAACCGUGGAGGGUCAUUGGAAACUGGGAGACUUUAGUGCAGAAGAGGAAAGUGGAAUUCCAUGUGUAGCGGUGAAAUGCGUAGAGAUAUGGAGGAACACCAGUGGCGAAAGGCGACUUUCUGGUCUGUAACUGACACUGAGCGCGAAAGCGUGGGGA
rnacentral:rRNA from 1 species